rnacentral:rRNA from 1 species
AUUGAACGCUGGCGGCAGGCCUAACACAUGCAAGUCGAGCGGAUGAAGGGAGCUUGCUCCUGGAUUCAGCGGAGGACGGGUGAGUAAUGCCUAGGAAUCUGCCUGGUAGUGGGGGAUAACGUCCGGAAACGGGCGCUAAUACCGCAUACGUCCUGAGGGAGAAAGUGGGGGAUCCUCGGACCUCACGCUAUCAGAUGAGCCUAGGUCGGAUUAGCUAGUUGGUGGGGUAAAGGCCUACCAAGGCGACGAUCCGUAACUGGUCUGAGAGGAUGAUCAGUCACACUGGAACUGAGACACGGUCCAGACUCCUACGGGAGGCAGCAGUGGGGAAUAUUGGACAAUGGGCGAAAGCCUGAUCCAGCCAUGCCGCGUGUGUGAAGAAGGUCUUCGGAUUGUAAAGCACUUUAAGUUGGGAGGAAGGGCAGUAAGUUAAUACCUUGCUGUUUUGACGUUACCAACAGAAUAAGCACCGGCUAACUUCGUG